CUUUUAGUGUAAGUAUGUCCCAUGCAAUAUUUGGUGCAUAUUUAUACUAAAU
rnacentral:pre_miRNA from 1 species